UAACCAGGAUUCUCCUAGUAACGGCGAGUGAACGGAGAUUAGCCCAUCACCGAAGUCUAUCCGCUUUUGUGGACAGGACAAUGUGGUGUUUAGGCGUGUACCUGGGAGCGCUUGCCUACCCGAAGUCCAUCUCCGAUUCUGGCUUGGACUAUGCCCAUAGCGGGUGAAAGGCCCGUGCGGGUAGGCUGUGAUGCAAUAAGCGAUCCUCAGAUGUACAUGCCUUCGAGUCGGAUUGCUUGAGAAUGCAGUCCAAAGUGGGUGGUAAACUCCAUCCAAGGCUAAAUACUGGCACGAGUCCGAUAGUAGACAAGUACCGUGAGGGAAAGUUGAAAAGUACUCUGAAGAGAGAGUAAAUAGCACGUGAAGCCGCUUGCAGGGAAGCUGGUGGAGUCAAGCUUCUUGUCGGGAGAAUUGUCAGCAGAGGAUUGUUGUCUCAGGACGUGGCGCUGGUUAGCCUUGAAACGGUUUGGCGCAGUAACAUGCGUUUCAAGUCGCUCCGGGGAGAGUGAUUGGACCGGCGUCUAUCUCCUACCUCUGCUGCUGUAUUCUCCAUGACAUACAUCACGGUCGAUAGUGGUGAGAACACGUACUGUGUGAGCGCUUAACCCUGCUUUGGUGGACUUAACCGUCUGCUGGGCAUGGAAUGGCAGAAGGCAUGUUCGGGACUUGUGCCCGUUCUAUGCGUAUUGUGGUCUUGACCUGCUAGUGCUCAUGUUCAGUAUCGGCCCCAUCGUUGCUAUGCG
rnacentral:rRNA from 1 species